rfam:Schistosoma haematobium scaffold2647_2, whole genome shotgun sequence.
AGACUUCCAAGUUCGUGCCGAGAUUUCAUCAGACAGUAGAUCAUUGAGACUGUUGAGACUCUCAAGAUAAGUGAAGCA